GCGAGUGAAGCGGGAAGAGCUCAAAUUUGAAAUCUGGCAGUCUUCGAUUGUCCGAGUUGUAAUCUAUAGAGGCGUUUUCCGUGCCGGACCGUGUCCAAGUCUCCUGGAAAGGAGUAUCAAAGAGGGUGAUAAUCCCGUACUUAACACGACCACCGGUGCUCUGUGAUACGUCUUCUACGAGUCGAGUUGUUUGGGAAUGCAGCUCAAAAUGGGUGGUGAAUUCCAUCUAAAGCUAAAUAUUGGCGAGAGACCGAUAGCGAACAAGUACCGUGAGGGAAAGAUGAAAAGCACUUUGGAAAGAGAGUUAAACAGUACGUGAAAUUGUUGAAAGGGAAACGAUUGAAGUCAGUCGUGUUCUUUGGAUUCAGCCAGUUCUGCUGGUCUACUUCCUUUGAACGGGUCAACAUCAGUUUUGUCCGGUGGAUAAAGGCAGUAGGAAUGUAGCUUCUCCGGAAGUGUUAUAGCCUAUUGUCACAUACACUGGGUGAGACUGAGGACUGCAGCUCGCCUUUAUGGCCGACCUUCGGGUACGUUCGAGCUUAGGAUGUUGACAUAAUGGCUUUAAACGACCC
rnacentral:rRNA from 1 species